UCCUGACGGCAAGGAUCAGUAGAGGCCGCGUGUCGGCCCGGGAUGAAGCGGGCAGUGUCGGGAGGCCUCCUGCGGAAGUGCUUUUGGUGUAAGGUGCAGUGGCCUCUGGGUGAGGUGGUGGCUUGGCAGUCUUGUGAGGGGCGCCUGUCAUCGGGCACCAGAUCCCCUCCUUUAGAACCUCCGGGCUGUAUUGAAUUUCUGGUCAGUGCCCAACCAAAGCGACUCCAUUGCCUCAGUCCGGCUGCAGCAAAAUAACGGGGGGGGGGGGGGUGACGAACAACUUGUGUAGAUUGAUACAGCAGGAGUGGGAGCCGUUUAUUGUAGGACAACAGAGGUAUUUAUACAUUCCACACAGCUUAUCUUAAUUAGCAUAAACUAGAUACAUCAGUCAACCAAUAAGGAAUCUCCACACUUAAUGGCUCGCUGGUGUUACUUCACAAACCACUCCCUCUGGCAUUUUGCCAGGCGCCAUCCAGACUUGUUUAUAGACUCUAACACUCCAUCUUGAUUUGGAUGGCUUCGCAGUCCCUAGCGCUCUACCACCUAGUCCCUAGUCUAGUAGCCAGGCCAUCCGUGGUAGCUUUCGGGGUUUCACUUCAUCACCACCCCCUCGAAAAUGACCCCCACCUGCACAGGGGCUGCUCGACUGUUCCCUUGGGUACUGGGAGAUAUUUUUGAGUGCUCAUGCACAGCACUUCACAGUUUGUAAAGCACUUCCUCUGAUCUCUGAAGUGCCCUGCGAAGUCUGAUCGCUGCAAAACCUCUGGAGCCAUCAAUGGCAAAGGGUCUAAAGGCCACAGGAGGCUCAGGCUCAGGCCCUGCCGUCCGCCCUGCUCCCCCGAACUCCAAAGCUUUUCUUACCAUCCUCUGACAUCUGAAGGAUCGUGUUCCCAACACACAGAACCCCAAGCCAGGGAGGUGCUGUCAUGGGGCUAUACUUGGUUAGGAUCAGGUGGUGACCUUCUUAGCCUGGCACACACCUGUG
rnacentral:lncRNA from 1 species